GGCUUAGAAGCAGCCACUCAUUUAAAGAGUGCGUAAUAGCUCACUAGUCGAGUGACUCUGCGCCGAAGAUAAACGGGGCUGAAACCUGACACCGAAGCUUUGGAUACAUUAUGUAUGGUAGAGGAGCAUCGUAUACGGGCAGAAGCUGUGCUGAAAGGCAUGGUGGACUGUAUAGGAGAGAGAAUGUUGGCAUGAGUAGCGUAAGGCAGGUGAGAAUCCUGUCCGCCGAAAAUCUAAGGUUUCCUGAGGAAGGUUCGUCCUCUCAGGGUUAGUCGGGACCUAAGCCGAGAGCGAAAGCUGUAGGCGAUGGACAACAGGUUGAGAUUCCUGUACCACCGAAAGUUGAUUGAACGAAGUGGGGACACAGAAGGAUAAGCUGAGCGCGCCGCUGGUAGAGCGCGUCUAAGCACCAAGGGAGAUGGCCAAGGCAAAUCCGGGCUGUCAAUUCUGAGGUGUAAUGGGGAGGGAAAAUAAGUACCGAAGCAGCUGAUUUCACGCUGUCAAGAAAAGCCGCUAGUGAGACCGUAGGUGCCCGUACCGCAAACCGACACAGGUAGAUGAGGAGAGAAUCCUAAGGUGAGCGAGAGAACUAUUGUUAAGGAACUCGGCAAAAUAACCCCGUAACUUCGGGAGAAGGGGUGCCUGCGAAAGCAGGCCGCAGUGAAAAGGCCCAGGCGACUGUUUACCAAAAACACAGGUCUCUGCAAAAGCGAAAGCUGAAGUAUAGGGGCUGACGCCUGCCCGGUGCUGGAAGGUUAAGGGGAAGUGUUAGGGCAACCGAAGCACAGAACUUAAGCCCCAGUAAACGGCGGCCGUAACUAUAACGGUCCUAAGGUAGCGAAAUUCCUUGUCAGGUAAGUUCUGACCCGCACGAAAGGCGUAACGAUCUGGGCACUGUCUCAACAAUAGACUCGGUGAAAUUGUAGUACCGGUAAAGAUGCCGGUUACCCGCAGCAGGACGGAAAGACCCCGUGGAGCUUUACUGCAGUUUGAUAUUGAGUUUCGGCAUUGCAUGUACAGGAUAGGUGGGAGACAGAGAAGUAAGUACGCCAGUAUUUAUGGAGUCAAUGUUGGGAUACCACCCUUGUAACGUUGAAGUUCUAACGGUGUGCCGUGAACCGGCAUCCGGACAGUGUCAGGUGGGCAGUUUGACUGGGGCGGUCGCCUCCUAAAGAGUAACGGAGGCGCCCAAAGGUUCCCUCAGUGCGGUUGGAAACCGUGCGAAGAGUGCAAAGGCAGAAGGGAGCUUGACUGCGAGACAGACAGGUCGAGCAGGGACGAAAGUCGGGCUUAGUGAUCCGGUGGUACCGAGUGGAAGGGCCAUCGCUCAACGGAUAAAAGCUACCCCGGGGAUAACAGGCUUAUACCCCCCAAGAGUUCACAUCGACGGGGGUGUUUGGCACCUCGAUGUCGGCUCGUCUCAUCCUGGGGCUGAAGUAGGUCCCAAGGGUUGGGCUGUUCGCCCAUUAAAGCGGU
rnacentral:rRNA from 1 species